rnacentral:rRNA from 1 species
AGGAUGAACGCUGGCGGCGUGCCUAAUACAUGCAAGUCGAGCGGUAAGGUCCCUUCGGGGAUACACGAGCGGCGGACGGCUGAGUAACACGUAGGAACGUACCCCAAAGUGAGGGAUAAGCACCAGAAAUGGUGUCUAAUACCGCAUGUGAUCUUCGGAUUAAAGCUCCGGCGCUUUGGGAACGGCCUGCGCAUGAUUAGCUUGUUGGUGAGGUAAUGGCUCACCAAGGCGAUGAUCAUUAGCUGGUCUGAGAGGAUGACCAGCCAGACUGGAACUGAGAACGGUCCAGACUCCUGCGGGAGGCAGCAGUAGGGAAUUUUCCACAAUGGACGAAAGUCUGAUGGAGCAACGCCGCGUGCAGGAUGAAGGCUCUAGGGUCGUAAACUGCUUUUAUAUGUGACGAUUAUGACGGUAGCAUAUGAAUAAGGAUCGGCUAACUCCGUGCCAGCAGCCGC